UCCGGCUUGACGCCGGCAGUCUCGCUAGAGUACUGGCUUGCGCCGAGCAACUAGCGACAGGGGUUGCGCUCGUUAGAGGACUUAACCCGACACUUCACAGCACGAGCUGACGACAGCCAUGCAGCACCUGUGCACGUUCCGGUCUUGCGACUGUGGCUCUCCUUUCAGAGAGUUGAUCCGUACAUGUCAAACCCAGGUAAGGUUCUUCGCGUUGCCUCGAAUUAAGCAACAUGCUCCACCGCUUGUGUGAGCCCCCGUCAAUUCAUUUGAGUUUUAGCCUUGCGACCGUACUCCCCAGGCGGUACAUUUAUCGUUUUUACUACGACCGAUACGACGUCAAAAUCGCACCGGUCUAAUGUACAUCGUUUACAGCGUGGACUAC
rnacentral:misc_RNA from 1 species